UAGGGAAUUUUUGGCAAUGGGGGGGAACCCUGACCGAGCAACGCCGCGUGAGUGAAGAAGGUUUUCGGAUCGUAAAGCUCUGUUGUUAAGGAAGAACGAGUGUGAGAAUGGAAAGUUCAUACUGUGACGGUACUUAACCAGAAAAGGGACGGCUNNUACNUCCAGCACAGCCGGUAAUAAAUAGUAGGUCCCGAGCGUUGUCCGGAUUUAUUGGGCGUAAAGCGAGCGCAGGCGGUUAGAUAAGUUUGAAGUUAAAGGCAGUGGCUCAACCAUUGUAGGCUUUGGAAACUGUUUAACUUGAGUGCAGAAGGGGAGAGUGGAAUUCCAUGUGUAGCGGUGAAAUGCGUAGAUAUAUGGAGGAACACCGGUGGCGAAAGCGGCUCUNNGGUCUGUAACUGACGCUGAGGCUUGAAAGCGUGGGGAGCGAACAGGAUUAGAUACCCUGGUAGUCCACGCCGUAAACGAUGAGUGCUAGGUGUUAGGUCCUUUCCGGGACUUAGUGCCGCAGCUAACGCAUUAAGCACUCCGCCUGGGGAGUACGACCGCAAGGUUG
rnacentral:rRNA from 1 species